UACGAAGGGAGCUAGCGUUGUUCGGAAUCACUGGGCGUAAAGCGCACGUAGGCGGAUGUGUCAGUCGGGGGUGAAAUCCCGGGGCUCAACCCUGGAAUGGCCUUCGAGACUGCCGGUCUUGAGUUCGAGAGAGGUGGGUGGAAUUCCGAGUGUAGAGGUGAAAUUCGUAGAUAUUCGGAGGAACACCAGUGGCGAAGGCGGCCCACUGGCUCGACACUGACGCUGAGGUGCGAAAGCGUGGGGAGCAAACAGG
rnacentral:rRNA from 1 species